AGAAGGACCAACUUUGGUCAAAAUGUGUUAUCCAUAAAAGGUGGGCAAGCUUGGAACAACCCCCCAGUCACAAUCGGGGAGAGCACCACUUUCAGUACUUUCAAAGGACAAUUGAAAGCUUGGUUACUGGCAAAUCAGACAUGCAACCAUCUGUGGCCUAAAACACAAUUCAACUGUGGAGGCACCACUCAAAUUUUUACUGGUUGUUGGUUUUCCCCAG